rnacentral:rRNA from 1 species
UACAGAGGGGGCAAGCGUUGUUCGGCAUUACUGGGCGUAAAGGGCGCGUAGGCGGCCUGUUAAGUCGAACGUGAAAUCCCCGGGCUCAACCCGGGAACUGCGUCCGAUACUGGCAGGCUUGAAUCCGGGAGAGGGAUGUGGAAUUCCAGGUGUAGCGGUGAAAUGCGUAGAUAUCUGGAGGAACACCGGUGGCGAAGGCGGCAUCCUGGACCGGUAUUGACGCUGAGGCGCGAAAGCCAGGGGAGCAAACGGG